GAUGAACGCUGGCGGCGUGCCUAACAAAUGCAAGUCGAACGGGGUCGCUUUGGCAAUCUCUUCGGAGAUGGUAUUCUCGCCUUAUUGGCGGUCGGGUGAGUAACGCGUGAGCAAUCUGCCUUUAAGAGGGGGAUAACAGUCGGAAACGGCUGCUAAUACCGCAUAAAGCAUUAGAUUCGCAUGUUUUUGAUGCCAAAGGCGCAAUCCGCUUUUAGAUGAGCUCGCGUCUGAUUAGCUAGUUGGCGGGGUAACGGCCCACCAAGGCGACGAUCAGUAGCCGGCUCGACAGGUCGAGCGGUCACAUUGGGACUGGGACACGGCCCAGGCUCCUACGCGAGGCAGCAGGGGCGAAUGUUGCGCAAUGUGCGAAUCAGUGACGCAGCCACGCCGCGUGAUUGAAGAAUGCCCUUGGGUUGGAAAGAUCUUGGACAAGCGACGGGGGGAAAGGCGGUACGUAAAGAUUACAGUCUGGCUAACUACGUG
rnacentral:rRNA from 1 species